AGCGAACGCUGGCGGCAGGCCUAACACAUGCAAGUCGAACGCUCCGCGAAGGGGAGUGGCGCACGGGUGAGUAACACGUGGGAACCUACCUUCUGGUACGGAACAACCAAGGGGAAACUCUGGCUGAUACCGUAUACGACCUCCGGGUGAAAGAUUGAUCGCCGGAAGAGGGGCCCGCGUCCCGAUUAGGUAGUUGGUGAGGUAACGGCUCACCAAGCCUGCGAUCGGUAGCUGGUCUGAGAGGAUGACCAGCCACACUGGACUGAGACACGGCCCAGACUCCUACGGGAGGCAGCAGUGGGGAAUAUUGGACAAUGGG
rnacentral:rRNA from 1 species